AUACUUACCUGGCAGGGGAGACGCCAUGAUCACAAAGGUGGUUUUCCCAGGGCGAGGCUUUAUUCACUGCGUUUCAGGUGUGCUGACUCCUGCAGUUUCUCCCCGCCGUGUGAAAUGACUGCAUAAUUUGUGGGGGGACUGUGUUCUCACUUUCCCCUA